rnacentral:rRNA from 1 species
UGGUCAAGUUAUUAAGGGUGCAGGGUGGAUGCCUUGGCACUAGGAGCCGAUGAAGGACGUGAUAAGCUGCGAUAAGCUUCGGGGAGUUGCACGUAAACUUUGAUCCGAAGAUUUCCGAAUGAGGAAACUCACUUAGAGUAAUGUCUAAGUAUCAUUAAGUGAAUACAUAGCUUAAUGAGGGGAACUCAGGGAACUGAAACAUCUAAGUACCUGAAGGAAGAGAAAGAAAUUCGAUUCCGUAAGUAGCGGCGAGCGAACGCGGAUUAGCCCAAACCAAUAAAGUUUUCUUUAUUGGGGUUGCGGACAUAUCAUAACGAAGAGGUAUCGUAAUUGAAGAGGUUUGGAAAGACCCACCACAGAAGGUAAUAGUCCUGUAUGUUAAAC